AAUAGAUACCCAGGUAGUCCAUGCCGUAAACGAUGUCUACUAGCCGUUGGGGCCCUUGAGGCUUUAGUGGCGCAGCUAACGCGAUAAGUAGACCGCCUGGGGAGUACGGUCGCAAGACUAAAACUCAAAUGAAUUGACGGGGGCCCGCACAAGCGGUGGAGCAUGUGGUUUAAUUCGAUGCAACGCGAAGAACCUUACCUGGCCUUGACAUACAGAGAACUUUCCAGAGAUGGAUUGGUGCCUUCGGGAACUCUGAUACAGGUGCUGCAUGGCUGUCGUCAGCUCGUGUCGUGAGAUGUUGGGUUAAGUCCCGCAACGAGCGCAACCCUUUUCCUUAUUUGCCAGCACUUCGGGUGGGAACUUUAAGGAUACUGCCAGUGACAAACUGGAGGAAGGCGGGGACGACGUCAAGUCAUCAUGGCCCUUACGGCCAGGGCUACGACACGUGCUACAAUGGUCGGUACAAAGGGUUGCUACUGCGCGAGCAGAUGCUAAUCUCAAAAAGCCGAUCGUAGUCCGGAUCGC
rnacentral:rRNA from 1 species